AAAAUAUGCAUAUUGAAAACUAAUAAUCAAACAAUAACAGCAAAAGCAGGUCAUUAAUGACUAACAUUUCUGCCUCUUUUUGAAGAAAAUGAAUACUUAUAGCUAUGCUUCUAGCCGUUAAUCAGGUGUCCUGAACCAGUAAAUGGCUUCCAGUCUUUGAGCUAUAUAAGCCUAUAGCAGACGCUAACUGUUCCCCUUGAAGCUGCCUGAGAACCAAAGGAGAGCUCAUGAAAUCCUUUCUGUGCUAGGAGUCAACCUUUGGGUGGCAUCAUCUCAGAAGUCUUGGGAAGUGAUCAACAAAUCCUCAGAAGCAAUAGUCUUGGCUACAGGGGGAGCAGGCAUGACUUUCAGUUAUAUCUCCUCUAACUGCACCAAACUGUAACACGUUUUUCCUUCUUCAGAAAGUGACUUUACUGACGAGACUUAUAUUUAAUUGUAAAGACUACUCACUGUGGCUCUAUUCUCUUAAGUUAUUGUUCCUCAUAACUUCUAGUCAUCUACAGCAAAAGUAAAUUUUCCAUGCUUUGGGUUCUGCUCCCUCUCUUCCCCCAUAUUACAUCUAUUUUUCCACUAAACAUUUUCAAUUUUUAAUAGAAUUACUACUGCAAUCAGGAAACUCCUGCGUUACUCUCAGUCCCAUUAUUUCACAUGCACAACAGAUCUCUUUCUGCAAUUCCCAUAAGACCCUUCAUGUAAGAUUUGAGCAGCAACAGAUGGCCAGCUACAUCCUCAAUGGGAACUUGCAAUUGACUCAAAAAAUAAGUGUUCUUACACUUCACAUUAUAUUUUUUGCCUCUUACUCCAUCUUUUCUUUACUGUCCUCCUUGUUUCUCUGGCUUGUUUCUUGAAAGUAGGCUUCUCCAGUGAAAUUUGUCAGACAUCCAAAUAAUCAGGUCUUGCCAUUGUUGACCCUCAUUGCAAAUUCUUGGAAGUCAAACACAGAGUCAGAGGAGAUCUCCUGGGAAGUCUCCUUGACCUUUUCUUUUAUUGGCUGAACAUUAGGACUGAAAAGCCACAUCUGGAUUAAGUGGGAAAAAGAAAAGCAUGACCUAUUGGCUGGAAUUUGUAUUCUGUGUAAAAUCUUACAUAAGAAUUGCAUCCACUGGUAUUAAAAAACUUACAAAAAUUGUAAGCUUUCCUUUCACCAAGUUAAAUGGCAUGAAUAGCACUCGACAGACAUAGAGGAAUCAGUGGUAAUUUAUUCUAUCGUGCUUGUGAAGAACGAAGCCUUUAUAGUUGUUCAAAUGUAAUAUAUUCCUUUUGUGAGUAAUCAUUUAUGUCCUACUCCUUUUAAAAUCUGCAUUUUUAUUUCAGUCUCAGUUAAAUGUUACAAGUUUUGUUGAAACUUAUUUACUUGACUUUUUAUUACUAGGGGGGAAAAAAAGUAAUUAAAGGCUUUUUAACUAAAGCAAUCUUAAAAGAUUUUACUGCUUUUUCUUUCCGACACUUUUUUUCCCAUAGAACAAAUAUAGGCAUACAAAAAUUUAAUACUUAAUUUUGUUGUGUUUUUUUUUUUUUUUUUUUUUUUUUUAAUCUGUGGGUAACUGCACUUACCACCAUCUGCCAGAUCCCAUAAUGGAAGUAAUAUAAUGCCAUACUGACUGUGCCAGCAAAGUUAGAAAUAAUUUCAGUUCACUGUUAGCUUUGCUAAUAGUAGGAAGUGCUGCAGAUCUCAUCUGGGAAACCUUUUUGUGCUAUUUCCACACAAAAAGUUUCCAAGAACUGCCAUACUUUUUUACUUCUUAGAAUCAAAUCUCCAAAUAUAUAGCGUGUACCUAAGGGCAGGGCAAAUUCAGCCAGGGUCAAAUCCUGUUCAUAUCUUCAUAUUGGCCUUGCGGAGGCAAGAGAGAGGAGACCUAGAACAAGUGUGAGCUUCAGUGCAUGAGAGAAGAAAAAUUUGGUAGACCUUUUGCUUUUAACACAAGCAGUAUAUGUUUGUUAAUGUGUCUGUGCAAUAACUUGAAAAAGCCAUAUUCUGUUGUAUGUGAGAAUGUAUAGACCAGUAAUCUUGUUAAAAUCUUGAGCCUAGGAAACAAGUUAUUAAAUGCCUUGAAAACAACCAAGCAACUAAAAAACCUACAGCAAAAUUUGUUAAGAGGUGGUUAAGAAAGUAUUUGGGAAAUGUUUCCUUUUUAGAGCUCAUUAAGAAUUAAUAAUUACAUGCUCUAAGCAAUGAAGAGAAUCAGGGUGUGAAUAGCUUCACAUUUCAGACAGAAACAUGGCUGUUAGUGAUGGCUGGUGCUGGAAUGCACUUGUGGCUCGUGGGAUCUCUGAUUGAUUCUAUAGAUUUGUACAGUGUAAUGUACCUUAAGGACAAAAGAAUGCUGCAAAAUGUGUCCAAUAACUUUUCUUGUGAAAUAAGUACUGAAUACUAAUUUUGCUGUAAGAUGUGAAUCCUUCACCUUGGGAAUUUUUAAUGCCAGUCAAAAACUGAAUCUUUUUCACGAUGAGUUGCUGUUGGACAGGUAAUUCUUUUACCACUUUGAAAAAAAAAAAAAAAAAAAAAAAGUCCCUUUCUGGGUCUAGGGAACUUGCAUGUGAUUUGCAGUAGAAAUAAUAAAUAUAUAAAUAAAUAGAGACAAAUUAAUGACAACACACACUGAACACCUCACAGGUUUGAAGCUUCUUUGCAUGUUGACUGUAAGAAAUCUAGCUAAUCCCCUGCACACACAAGAAUACCGAGUUCUCACAUCUUUACAUCUGUAUUUCUGUUUAAAAAAGAAAAACAAAACAAAACCAACCAACAAACAAACAAACCAAAAACCAGAAAGUGGCCCAGGAAGGAUUUUGAAAUCACUAUUCUCUAUUUGGAAAUGCCGUGUAAUUCAGUUACUGACAAAGGAAUCUAAGCUGUGUCAUAAUAUAUAUACAGAGAAGCAACGUAUAUCCAUUCCAGGAAGAUUUAUAUUCAUUCCCGCUGUGGCAAAGUGGCUGUGCUGGAAAAUUAUACAAAAAAUGAACAUUAAUGUAUGUGAUCCACAUCUGUUAUCACACACCACUUCUGGAGCCCAUGGGCACACUGUGACCUCUCAGCGAUAAAUCAGCGCCAUGCCUGUCCUCAGCUGUGGUUAGUUAACGGGACUGUGUAACUGCACUGUGGGCUGCAAGGGGGUGGUGGAGCCGUACCUCUGGGACUGGGCAGUGAUGUGGAAGGGCUGAAAUGCAAGACAAAGAGGGUAAUGACGUGCUUGUUGUUGAUAUAGUAAAAAGUUUCAGAUAUACUGAUGUAAUUAUAGUUAAAUACCUAAUGUGAGUGGGAAGCCAUUUAAAUUCCCUAAGCCAGAUGGUCUAAUUCAUCUCUCAUUUAAAGCGCUUUGAUUUGAAAAUUUUGAAGGGGUCUAAUGCUCCAUUUUAUAGAAAGGUGGGAGGGCAAUGCAUUUCACACUCCGGACUUUACAGUCUAACUCUAUGAAGUAGGGACUAAACCACAAGGACAAUGCCAGCAUCUUGCUGUUUUAGCAGUAAGCUGGGCAAACUUUUAUUUGUGCAUUAGUGCUUAGUGCUUUAGAUAAGCAGCAGAUGAAAAUCAGUAGGAAAGACAAAUAGCUUUGCUAUUUGCUAAGGAGGACAGAUGAGUAGCUGUCCUCUUUCUAUAAUGUAUAGAUUUGGAAUUUUUUUUUUCUCCCAGUAAUCUAAAACUGGUAUGGGUGCUACAGUGGUCCUGACCAGUUUGGUUUUCUCUUUUUAAAACAAGUGAAGUAGAAAGCCUCAGUAAGCCAAACGAUGCAUAGCUGAACUUUAGUGACUGGUUAACUGACCUUCUCCAGUGACUAGGGGAGGUCUGGAAUGGGUCAUGUCUGAACACCCACCAAAUCUUUCCCCACUGGGGUGCUAAAAGCCUCUCACUUAGCAUUGACCAGCCUUUUCUCUGAUCAUUUUGUAGUGAGUAAAGUUUAAAGUCCAUGGAGAUAAAGGCUUUAGUCUAGAGGCUAAGGCU
ensembl:lncRNA